UAGCCGUCUCACAAACCAAAAGUUACACAGUUUUUGCACGCUCAGUUUUGCGGAAGCUCUGCCAAAUUUAUUUUUUCACGCCUUUGCUUAUUUUUCUUCCUUUCCAGCAUCGUCCAUUUUAUUUAUUUUAUUUUGCAAGCUUUGUUUUCUUUUUCCCUUGCAAUUUAUUUUCCCCCGUUCUUAGCUUUUAGAUAUUUUUCGCGUAGUAGUUUCUACACCGGAAACUACUGGGCAACUUUAUACCGGAUUUAACCUUACGUUAUAUUCGAGUUUUUUUAUUUCCUUGAUUUAAUUUACUGUUUAAUUGAAGAAUCGAAGAACAAAUCCUACCGGCUU
rnacentral:lncRNA from 1 species